UUCUGACCGUAAACGAUGCCAACUAGCGAUCCGCCGGUGGCUUUUAGGCCCUGGUGGGGAGCUUCCCGGAAACGAAAGUCUUCCGGUUCCGGGGGAAGUAUGGUUGCAAAGCUGAAACUUAAAGGAAUUGACGGAAGGGCACCACCAGGAGUGGAGCCUGCGGCUUAAUUUGACUCAACACGGGAAAACUCACCCGGCCCGGACACCGUGAGGAUUGACAGAUUGAUAGCUUUUUCAUGAUUCGGUGGUUGGUGGUGCAUGGCCGUUCUUAGUUCGUGGAUCGAUUUGUCUGGUUUAUUCCGAUAACGAGCGAGACUCCAGCCUACUAACUAGUGCGGGCAUUGUCUCUGUGCUUGUCACUUCUUAGAGGGAUUGGCUGCGUCUAGCGGCACGAAACGGAGCAAUAACAGGUCUGUGAUGCCCUUAGAUGUCCGGGGCUGCACGCGCGCUACACUGGCAAAAGCAGCGUGCUUGUCCGCCUCCGAAAGGAGCCGGUAAACCCUUGAAAAUUUGCCGUGAUUGGGAUCGGAAAUUGCAAUUAUUUUCCGUGAACGAGGAAUUCCUAGUAAGUGCGAGUCAUCAGCUCGCGUUG
rnacentral:rRNA from 1 species